UGUUUCUCAUAAAAAAAUCGCUAAACGAAAUUUACGUAUUAAAAAUGAGAACAAAAUACGCAUAAAGAGAUUACUAGUAGACCUUCGGCUCGGAGUUGUUCACAGUCAUCAGCUACUAAACUUCUGCUGGAUAGAAGGAAGUCGCCGGAGAAAAGGAAGACGCCGGAGAUGUUUUUCAAGUUCAGAGAGAGAGUUAGAGAGAAAGCGUCCGUCUUGCGUUUA
rnacentral:lncRNA from 1 species